GCGUGAACUCCUGAAGACAUACCUGAAGCUUCAGUAAGAAAAUUCCAUACUUUAGCAACAACCUUUUUUUCUUGCAACCUGAAACCCUUCGAGGGAACAAGAAUUCAGAAGCCACGCAUUUCGGUGGAAGAAAAUUUCCAGAAGCCAAAUUGUGCAGCAUCAUAGGUAAACGCGCAUAUCUCAUUAGUUUUUCUUCUUUUGAAGCAUCCUGAAACCCUCCAGAGUCGCACUAUUCUGUUCACAGCAUCAUAUGGUUGUUCACAGUCCGUUGCAAUACCAUAGAUGAUUUGGAUGGAAACAAAUAUUGGUUGUCCUUUUUUUGUACUAUUGCCAUGUGAGAACUGCAGAAUUAUUUUCAGAAUGCGGCGAACUAUACCUCCGACAUGCUUCGAGAGAUACAGUGUCGUUCUUGCACUGCCACUCUGGUUUUCAAGCAUAAUCAGCAGCGGGUAUGGUAGGGAGGCUCUUUUUCUUGAGGUGGUACAUUCACUAGAUGGACAUUAGACUGGUCAUUAGCUAAUUAUGGCUUCUUGAUGCUCAUUCAGUUGAUUGCUGUGUACGGAAGGUACAUGUUAAUAUACCGAUGUAUGCUUUGAUAAGGCUACAAAGUUAACAAAUAUCUUUGGCUCGCAUGUGUAGCAAAUGAGACUGUCUUAUUUAGCAAAUGCUUGGUUUAUUCUCAUAGGGUUUCAAGGGAGAAACUGACUUUGUCUUCUUAAAAGUCUCAGGUAGAGUAGAAGAUGAUGACGCGGAGAAAGAAAACAAGGGUGCACAAGGGUGCGCCUGUGGUGAUCACAAAAGAGGGCCAAGUAAAUUGUACCUCAAUUUUGUGUGGUGCGGUCUGGAACUUGAAGCCUAUAUAACACCAAUUUGAUCAGUAUCUCUAUGUAUUUUGCUAUUAUGUAGCAUAUCAUUGACUGAAGUGUGAAACAAAAAGGAGACAAAGCUUGUUGCAAGUCAAUGCGAAACCUGUGCCUCUGCAUUUCCAUUGCAUUUAUGUGGAAUUUAGUGAUAUUUGCCAUAUCUCAUGAAGAUUCACAACGAUUGAGAAAAUGAGACCGUGUGACAACCAAACGAUGUGAAGUGUGGGUACAGCUAGAGGCACAACCAUGGUCGCGGAAGGGAGGUGAAAGAAGAGGAUGCAUGGUGGGAUGAUAAGAGAUAAUCAUUAGGUUAUAGCUUAUGCAUAUAUGAUGUCAAAUCUUGUAUUUUUGUUGAAUUGCAUUUUAAGAAGCAAAU